AUGUAAGUUUUUGCGUGGAUUUGUGUCUAUUUAAAUAAUAGAUAUUUUUUAUUAUACCCUCAGUAAUUAAUUUUAUUAAUUAAGGUAACUUAUAAAUAGUAAUAUUAGACAGUAUUGGCUAAAUUUGUGCCAGCAGCCGCGGUUACACGAAUAAUACAAAUAAAUUUUGUUCGGUUGUAAGUUAGAUUGAUUUUUAAAAAUUAAUGUGUAUUUAUUAGGUGAAAUUUUAAAUAGGCAUAGUUUUGUUAAUAAUUGUAUUGAAGCUUGUAAAUUUUAUUAUAAAACUAGGAUUAGAUACCCUAUUAUUUAAAAUGUAAUUUUCAUACUUAGGUAGUAAUAGUUAUGUUCUUGAAACUUAAAAAAUUUGGCGGUAUUUUAAUCUAUUCAGAGGAACCUGUCCUUUAAUCGAUAGUCCACGUUGUACCUUACUUGAGUUUGUUUUCAGUUUAUAUACCGUCGUUAUCAGAGUAUUUUAUUAGAAUAAUAAUUUUCUAGAGUUUUUAUAAAAUUAUAUAUCAGAUCAAGGUGUAGCUUAUACUUUAGUAGAGAUGGGUUACAAUAAAUUUAUUUACACGGAAGUAGGAAUGAAAUUACUAGUGAAGGUGGAUUUGAUUGUAAAUUUGUAAAGAUUAGACGAAUUGAUUUUAGCUCUAAAAUAUGCACACAUCGCCCGUCGCUCUUAUUAUUAAGGUAAGAUAAGUCGUAACAUAGUAGAUGUACUGGAAAGUGUAUCUAGAAUG
rnacentral:ncRNA from 1 species